UGCUGGAAUGCAUCGAGCUGNAAAGCUCCGGCGCUCAAGGAUGGGUCUGCGGCCUAUCAGGUAGUAGUGGGUGUAGCGUACCUACUAGCCUACGACGGGUACGGGUUGUGAGAGCAAGAGCCCGGAGAUGGAUUCUGAGACACGAAUCCAGGCCCUACGGGGUGCAGCAGGCGCGAAAACUUUACAAUGCUGGAAACAGCGAUAAGGGGACCUCGAGUGCCAGGUUACAAAUCUGGCUGUCGUGAUGCCUAAAAAGCAUUGCAUAGCAAGGGCCGGGCAAGACCGGUGCCAGCCGCCGCGGUAACACCGGCGGCUCGAGUGGUAACCGUUAUUAUUGGGUCUAAAGGGUCUGUAGCCGGCCGGAUAAGUCUCUUGGGAAAUCUGGCAGCUUAACUGUCAGGCUUUCAGGAGAUACUGUCUGGCUCGAGGCCGGGAGAGGUGAGAGGUACUUCAGGGGUAGGGGUGAAAUCUUGUAAUCCUUGAAGGACCACCAGUGGCGAAGGCGUCUCACCAGAACGGACCUGACGGCAAGGGACGAAAGCUAGGGGCACGAACCGGAUUAGAUACCCGGGUAGUCCUAGCCGUAAACGAUACUCGCUAGGUGUCGGCAACGGUGCGACCGUUGUCGGUGCCGUAGGGAAGCCGUGAAGCGAGCCACCUGGGAAGUACGGCCGCAAGGCUGAAACUUAAAGGAAUUGGCGGGGGAGCAC
rnacentral:rRNA from 1 species